rnacentral:rRNA from 1 species
UCCUACGGGGGGCAGCAGUGAGGAAUAUUGGUCAAUGGGCGGAAGCCUGAACCAGCCAAGUCGCGUGAGGGAAUAAGGCCCUACGGGUCGUAAACCUCUUUUGCCGGGGAGCAAGGGCGGGGACGUGUCCCGGCCCGGAGAGUACCCGGAGAAAAAGCAUCGGCUAACUCCGUGCCAGCAGCCGCGGUAAUACGGAGGGGGCGAGCGUUGUUCGGAGUGACUGGGCGUAAAGAGCACGUAGGCGGUGUUGUAAGUCAUUAGUCAAAGACUAGAGCUCAACUUUAGUAAGGCUAGUGAUACUAUAA